rnacentral:rRNA from 1 species
ACACGUCUACAUUAGAUACCCGCGUAGUCCCAGCCGUAAACUAUGCGCGUUAGGUGUAUCGGUGACCACGAGUCACCGAGGUGCCGAAGGGAAACCGUGAAACGUGCCGCCUGGGAAGUACGGUCGCAAGGCUGAAAACUUAAAGGAAUUGGCGGGGAGCACCACAACAGGUGGAGCCUGCGGUUUAAUUGGACUCAACGCCGGGAAGCUCACCGGAUAGGACAGCAGAAUGAUUGCCGGGCUGAAGACCCUGCAUGACUAGCUG